rnacentral:rRNA from 1 species
UUGGGUUAGUCCGCAACGAGCCCACCCACGUUUUUAGUUGCCAGCAUUGAGNUGGGCACUCUAGAGAGACUGCCGGUGACAAACCGGAGGAAGGUGUGGAUGACGUCAAGUCAGCAUGCCCCUUACGUUCUGGGCUACACACGUACUACAAUGCUUCGGACAAAGGGCAGCGAGCGCGCGAGUGCAAGCCAAUCCCAUAAACCGAGGCUCAGUUCAGAUUGCAGGCUGCAACUCGCCUGCAUGAAGGCGGAAUCGCUAGUAAUCGCAGGUCAGCAUACUGCGGUGAAUACGUUCCCGGGCCUUGUACACACCGCCCGUCACACCAUGGGAGUUGGCCACGCCCGAAGUCGUUACUCCAACCGUUCGCGGAGGAGGAUGCCGAAGGCAGGGCUGAUGACUGGGGUGAAGUCGUAACAAGGUAACCA